rnacentral:rRNA from 1 species
UCAAGUCAUCAUGGCCCUUAUGUCCAGGGCUACACACGUGCUACAAUGGGCGGUACAAAGCGAAGCGAGUCCGCGAGGAUCAAGCGAACCGCCGAAAGCCGCCCGUAGUUCGGAUUGAAGUCUGAAACCCGACUUCAUGAAGUUGGAAUCGCUAGUAAUCGCGCAUCAGCAUGGCCGCGGUCGAAUACGUUCCGGGCCUU